GUAACCGCACCUGCCAUCCACGGGUUGCACCAUCCACAUUUAGGGCACCCACACAUGCCUCUAGUUAUUACCAUCAAUCACCACUGCUCUUCUCCCGACGUCAGCUACCAAUACCGAUAACCACCGUCCGCCGCUCUGCCCCAAAUCGACAUCGGCGACACAACCACCGCCAAAUCAAAAGGUCGUAGCUUUAUAUACUUCGUUAACCACAACCAAAGCCAUGGUUUCGUCUGAGAUUUGGGCUCCAACAGGAUGACCAACAAUGAUGACAUAAUGGAUAACCAUGGCAUUGUGCAAGUUAAGAAAGCAAGCAAGCCUUUCAGAAGCAAGAAGUGUAGUUUGUGGAGAAUCGAGGCAAAUGCUGAUGAACUAAAAAGACUAAUGCAAUACUUUUUGCCAUUGCAUGUGAUCAACCUUCAACACUUGAUCGGUUGAGCACCUUCUGGCUUCGGCAACUUAGACGAUUAGAGGUAUGCCUUUCAUUUCCUCUAUUUGGAUGAACUUUAUGCUUUUACUUUGACAUUUUGUAUAAAAGGAGUUAUCCUAUCGACUUACACAUAUAGUACACUAAUGACUAUCCAUGGUUAGCCUGUGACAAAAAUCCUUUGUAUCUUGUAUUACUUGAUGAAUCUUUUUGGUUGUGUACUACUAAAAGAGAACUUCCAUGAACAAUGAAUAUACCCAAUUAUUUAAUAAAUUAAUAAUGAUAUUUUAUAUUACGAUAUAUGUACACCUUUAGAUUUUAGCCAUAGUUAACUAAGUAUAGUGCAUUUCUUGGGCCAUGAGCAGGAGUAUGCUUCACCUAUAGCAAGUACUCAAAUCCAUAGUCAAAAUGGUUAGGUUGUAUAGUUGUUUAUGUGUAACUCCAUGGUAUAUAUUUACUAAUAACUUAUUUUAAUUUUGCCUACUACUAAACUAACAUCUACAACUCAAAAACAGAUGCAUAAAAAAUGUUUCUGUUACGGGUUUUGUUAUUUUCAAUUGACACACUUGUCCCACACUCUCCUCAUUAUUUAAAGAGUAAACUUCUGUUUUGCUCCCUGUGGUUUGGUCACUUUAAUGGUUUUGUCCCAAACCUUUAAAAACGGACAUUUUACUCCUUGGUCUAUGAAGCUUAUCUCUAUUUCACUCCCCGCCCCUAACGACAUCCAAUUCAACUGUUAAAUCCUGGUCACAUGCCCCUCACAUGAGGGGCAUUUUAGUCUUUUCCCACUUAAACUUAUUAAUUUUCACACUUUCUCACUGUUCCUCUCCAUUCUCACUGUUCCUGUUAUCAUUAUCAUCAAAAAUUUCUAGAAUGGAGAUUACAAAAUCAUCCUUUAUGACCCCACCUCGAUUACGAUCAUCACCACCAACACUCUCCUUGACUUCCCUUUGACUUCUCAGUUCUCUAGUAUUCCUGGAUCCCAACAAUAUAAGAUCCAAUAUUUUUCUCCUAACAACAUAAACAGGAUUCACAUAAACAAGAAAAUCUUUACAAUACGUUUAUAAAAACACCAUUUGUGUACAACCUUUUUGUAGAUAUGUAAAAGAUUCCAGGAUGCUUUUGAAUAAGCUCACAAAAAUUAACCGGAAUACCACAAUGUUUCUUAAAAUGCGCUAAUCUUUCAAUUUCAACCAUCUUCUAAACUAUUAAGCUUAAAAGCUCAUUAAGAAUCCCAAUCGCUCGUUUUUCAAACCGUUCAAUCCUGCCACGACAUGACGACCGACAACCACCUUGCAACAGCCCCACCCGACCACCAUUACCACCUCCACCUAACCGCCACCAUCUUGCACCACCCCACACAUUCCGGUGGCCUCCCCAACUACUCGAAAAUCCUUUAAAAUCAUAUCUAAAACAAGAUUUCAAUGAACUCCACCGUCACCAUCAUGAUCUGAAAGUCAUCGGAGCUAGAGUUCUUGGCUCAAAAACCUAGGCGCCGUCACUGUCUGAACGUAGAAAUAGGAGUUCGAAAUUGGGGGAUUUUGAAAUUUGAGGGUUUUGAUGAUACAAUUUGGGGGUGUUGAUGGUGAUGGCGGCAUAUGUGAUGGGUGGUGGCGGUCUGAGAAGGUAGAGAGAGGGAGAUAAGUGUCUGAAUGAACGGGGAAGAAGAUGGAAUGGGCUUUUAGGGUUUUAAAUGUAAUUCAUUAAUAUGGGUUGGGAAAAGACAUAAUUGCCCAUAUCAGGUGUUUUGCACGUGACAGGCUUAACGGUUAAAAUGGACGACGUUUAGGGUGGGGAGUAAAAUCAUGAAUGGCUUCAUAGAUCAGGGAGUAAAAUGUCCGUUUUUAAAGGUUUGGGGCAAAACCGUUAAAGUGACCAAACCAUAGGGAGCAAAACGGAAGUUUACUCUUAUUUAAAAGUCUCUUAGUAUUCAUUUGUUCGAUCAAUAGGUUACGAAUAAUGUAGCUAUGUCAAUACCAAAUUAUGUGUGGAAGUGUAUGUCCCAGAUGGUCAUUAUUCUUUGCGAAUGAGUCAUAAUCUAGGAACUUUGCUAACAUUCAUUACAACAAGGUUAAACAGUCAUCCACAAAGCAUCAAUAGCCUUCUACAUCGAAGGCUGCCCAUGCUACUGCACAGUACACACUUUAUCGGGAAUGUCCUAGAAGAAUAUAUCAGACAAAGAGGUGUUGCUCAUGUGGUUUUGGAUGGAACCUUUUUAUUGAUUCUCAAAUAUGUUCAUCCACGGGUUACCUUUUUGUUUUAAGUUAACUAUUGUAAUUUGUAACUAACAUUAUCAACCUAAUUGAAAUAAAAUACCCCGCCACACCGCGGCGGGUCAACAUCUAGUUAUACAUAAUACAUAUAGACAUGUGCCGUUAUCAUAUGAGACCAA